GAAUCUUGCACAAUGGGCGAAAGCCUGAUGCAGCAAUGCCGCGUGAGUGAAGAAGGCCCUUGGGUUGUAAAGCUCUUUCGACUGAGAAGAAGGGGGAUGCGGUGAAUAAUCGCAUUUUCUGACGGUAUCAGAUGAAGAAGCACCGGCUAACUCCGUGCCAGCAGCCGCGGUAAUACGGAGGGUGCAAGCGUUGUUCGGAAUUACUGGGCGUAAAGCGCACGUAGGCGGGUUUGUAAGUCAAUUGUGAAAGCCCCGGGCUCAACCUGGGAAUUGCAGUUGAAACUGCUAACCUUGAAUGCAUGAGAGGGUAGUGGAAUUCCCGGUGUAGAAGUGAAAUUCGUAGAUAUCGGGAGGAACACCAGAGGCGAAGGCGGCUACCUGGCACUGCAUUGACGCUGAGGUGCGAAAGCGUGGGGAGCAAACAGG
rnacentral:rRNA from 1 species